GACGAACGCUGGCGGCGUGCUUAACACAUGCAAGUCGAACGGAAAGGCCCUGCUUUUGUGGGGUGCUCGAGUGGCGAACGGGUGAGUAACACGUGUGUAACCUGCCCUUGACUUUGGGAUAACUUCAGGAAACUGGGGCUAAUACCGGAUAGGAGCUCCUGCUGCAUGGUGGGGGUUGGAAAGUUUCGGCGGUUGGGGAUGGACUCGCGGCUUAUCAGCUUGUUGGUGGGGUAGUGGCUUACCAAGGCUUUGACGGGUAGCCGGCCUGAGAGGGUGACCGGCCACAUUGGGACUGAGAUACGGCGCAGAAUCCUACGGGAGGCAGCAGUGGGGAAUAUUGCACAAUGGGCGGAAGCCUGAUGCAGCAACGCCGCGUGCGGGAUGACGGCCUUCGGGUUGUAAACCGCUUUCGCCUGUAACGAAGCGUGAGUGACGGUAAUGGGUAAAGAGGCACCGGCUAACUACGUG
rnacentral:rRNA from 1 species